ensembl:snRNA U6 U6 spliceosomal RNA
GUGCUCCCUUCAGCAGCAUGUAUAAUAAAACUGGAACAGUACAAACAGAUGAUCCUGGGCUCUGCCUAAGGAUAAUAUACAAGUUCAUGAAGCAUUCUAUAAUUAA